rnacentral:rRNA from 1 species
UACAGAGGGGGCGAGCGUUGUUCGGAAUUACUGGGCGUAAAGGGCGCGUAGGCGGCCCGCUAAGUCGAACGUGAAAUCCCCAGGCUCAACCUGGGAACUGCGUCCGAUACUGGCAGGCUUGAAUCUGGGAGAGGGAUGUGGAAUUCCAGGUGUAGCGGUGAAAUGCGUAGAUAUCUGGAGGAACACCGGUGGCGAAGGCGGCAUCCUGGACCGGUAUUGACGCUGAGGCGCGAAAGCUAGGGGAGCAAACGGG